CUGAGGCGUGACGACGAGGCACUACGGUGCUGAAGCAACAAAUGCCCUGCUUCCAGGAAAAGCCUCUAAGCAUCAGGUAACAUCAAAUCGUACCCCAAACCGACACAGGUGGUCAGGUAGAGAAUACCAAGGCGCUUGAGAGAACUCGGGUGAAGGAACUAGGCAAAAUGGUGCCGUAACUUCGGGAGAAGGCACGCUGACACGUAGGUGAAGUGAUUUACUCAUGGAGCUGAAGUCAGUCGAAGAUACCAGCUGGCUGCAACUGUUUAUUAAAAACACAGCACUGUGCAAACACGAAAGUGGACGUAUACGGUGUGACGCCUGCCCGGUGCCGGAAGGUUAAUUGAUGGGGUCAGCGCAAGCGAAGCUCCUGAUCGAAGCCCCGGUAAACGGCGGCCGUAACUAUAACGGUCCUAAGGUAGCGAAAUUCCUUGUCGGGUAAGUUCCGACCUGCACGAAUGGCGUAAUGAUGGCCAGGCUGUCUCCACCCGAGACUCAGUGAAAUUGAACUCGCUGUGAAGAUGCAGUGUACCCGCGGCAAGACGGAAAGACCCCGUGAACCUUUACUAUAGCUUGACACUGAACAUUGAGCCUUGAUGUGUAGGAUAGGUGGGAGGCUUUGAAGUGUGGACGCCAGUCUGCAUGGAGCCGACCUUGAAAUACCACCCUUUAAUGUUUGAUGUUCUAACGUGGACCCGUUACCCGGGUUGCGGACAGUGUCUGGUGGGUAGUUUGACUGGGGCGGUCUCCUCCUAAAGAGUAACGGAGGAGCACGAAGGUUGGCUAAUCCUGGUCGGACAUCAGGAGGUUAGUGCAAUGGCAUAAGCCAGCUUGACUGCGAGCGUGACGGCGCGAGCAGGUGCGAAAGCAGGUCAUAGUGAUCCGGUGGUUCUGAAUGGAAGGGCCAUCGCUCAACGGAUAAAAGGUACUCCGGGGAUAACAGGCUGAUACCGCCCAAGAGUUCAUAUCGACGGCGGUGUUUGGCACCUCGAUGUCGGCUCAUCACAUCCUGGGGCUGAAGUAGGUCCCAAGGGUAUGGCUGUUCGCCAUUUAAAGUGGUACGCGAGCUGGGUUUAGAACGUCGUGAGACAGUUCGGUCCCUAUCUGCCGUGGGCGCUGGAGAACUGAGGGGGGCUGCUCCUAGUACGAGAGGACCGGAGUGGACGCAUCACUGGUGUUCGGGUUGUCAUGCCAAUGGCACUGCCCGGUAGCUAAAUGCGGAAGAGAUAAGUGCUGAAAGCAUCUAAGCACGAAACUUGCCCCGAGAUGAGUUCUCCCUGAGACUUAAAGUCUCCUGAAGGAACGUUGAAGACGACGACGUUGAUAGGCCGGGUGUGUAAGCGCAGCGAUGCGUUGAGCUAACCGGUACUAAUGAACCGUGA
rnacentral:rRNA from 1 species